rnacentral:SRP_RNA from 1 species
GCCGAGCGAGGUGGCAUGUGCCUGUAGUCCCAGCUACUCGGGAGGCUGAGGUGGGAGGAUCGCUUGAGCCCAGGAGUUCUGGGCUGUAGUGCGCUACGCCAAUCAGGUGUCCGCACUGAGUUCGGCAUCAAUAUGGUGGCCUCCUGGGAGCGGGGAGGAGGGAUGAACCAAGCCAGGUCCGUAACGGAGCAGAUCAGUAGCAGGAUCAGUAGUGGGAUCGCACCUGUGAAUAGCCACUGCACUCCAGCCUGAGCAACACAGCGAUAACCCAUCUCU